rnacentral:rRNA from 1 species
UUGAACGCUGGCGGCAUGCUUUACACAUGCAAGUCGAACGGCAGCGCGGGCUUCGGCCUGGCGGCGAGUGGCGAACGGGUGAGUAAUGCAUCGGAACGUGCCCAGUAGUGGGGGAUAGCCCGGCGAAAGCCGGAUUAAUACCGCAUACGACCUGAGGGUGAAAGCGAGGGACCGAAAGGCCUCGCGCUAUUGGAGCGGCCGAUGUCGGAUUAGCUAGUUGGUGGGGUAAAGGCUUACCAAGGCGACGAUCCGUAGCUGGUCUGAGAGGACGACCAGCCACACUGGGACUGAGACACGGCCCAGACUCCUACGGGAGGCAGCAGUGGGGAAUUUUGGACAAUGGGGGCAACCCUGAUCCAGCCAUGCCGCGUGCGGGAAGAAGGCCUUCGGGUUGUAAACCGCUUUUGUUCGGGAAGAAAUCCUCUGGGCUAAUACCCCGGGGGGAUGACGGUACCGGAAGAAUAAGCACCGGCUAACUACGUG